AAAAGAGGCGAAGGGGUAACGGAUUAAGCAUCUUUGCGCUUGGGGCAAUGACGCAGCUAAUGAGGUAAUAACCGAGGCGCGUCAAUUGCUGGUUGAAAACUAUUUCCAAACCCCCUCCUUGGCCUUGGGUCUCCCUUGGCCAUCGAGAAUUUCUGGAAGGACUCCCUUUAUCGGCUAAAGUCCUACAAUUCCCAGUAAAAAAAAUUGAUUCUCUUAAUUUCUCCAUAAACACGGCUAAUUAAGUUAUAAUAUUGUGGUAAUAGGUUAAUUCUGCAUAAGAUAAUAAUAUAUUAUAAUAGCAUUAAUAUUGUAAUAUAAGUUCAUUUUUUUAUAUGUACGUUGUGCAUGUAUAUUAUUAUUGAUUGGAUUCAUUCACCAGAUAAAACAAUAAACAUAACUCCUUUGAGCAAUGCUUUAAAAUCUGGUUCGAAUCGGUCAAACCUAAAAAUCGGGACGAGAGCGGUUUAACAAUGAUCGGUUUUAUGUCGGUUUUUAGACCGAACUGAACCAAACUGUUUCUUUUAAAACCAGGUUGAAGUGGUAUAUUGUAUUUGGAUAGUUGGAUUUCACUUACCUGUUACAAAACAAUUUAUUUCCAAAACAUAAUAAAUAGUUUGAUUGAUCAGGUUAUUAUCCAGAGUGUACACAACUUGAAGGCUGAUGCACACCACCACCAUAUGUAGAAUGGUGGUCGAACCGGAAACGGUUAUCAAAACCGGUUCAACUAAAAAUCGGUUUUUAAAACAUUGUCUUUUAGUUGGAGUAUCUCACUUUAUAAUGAUUAUGUAUCUCGAUUAGAACAAAAAUCGGAAUCAACAUUCAAAAACAAAUUUCCAUUUCUAUUGACAGCCUGAUUAAAAAUAGGAUGCGCGUGUUUGAUCUUAAUACCUCAUUUAUAGGCUUUCAAUCAUCAAAUGUUGGAUUAUCAUUCAUGUUUUGUAUGUUCAAGGCCACCUAUUUGAAGUAGUCGUUCUAUUACAUGAGAGAGGCAUGACUUUCAAUAUUUACCUCUUUUUACCCACUUCUAAUGGAAUUGUAGGGUUUAUUGUUGGACGACAAAAACCAUGUCAUCUGCGACAUAAUCGUUUUGUGUAAUAUGUACCCAAUAAUUUUAAAAAUAUUAUUAUAAGUCUCAUAUUGAAUUGUACGUCAUAUGUACUAAAAUAUAUAUUUUUAGUAUUGAUUGUACCUUUUUAAGUUGUUUUUUUAGACUUAGCAAGUUUCUAUUUUUUCUUGAUUCAAGCUUUGUUGUUCUUUUCUAUCUUGUAUUUUUCAAAGAUAAUGAAUCAUAGUAUCUAAGUUUUGGAUCAUUUACCAAACUUUUGUUUUUUGUGCUUAAAAAGUGUCAUUUAACUAAAAUAAUAUGCAGAAAAACAGGUAAAACAUAACAGAUUUGUAAAAUUGAUAAGUUUUCUUGAAAAUUUUAUUUCAUGGCAACUUGGAAAUUUGAUAUCACAGAUAACAAAGGCAAAAGUAGAAAAAGACUUGUAAAGUUCAGAAAACAUAUUUAUGGUAAAAUCCGAUUUUUUUACAAACUUCAGGGCUUUUGUGUCAAAAGCCCUAAAAACCGUGCUAUUAUUAUAGUGAUAAAGAAAUUGUAACCAAGUCCACAUAAUCGACCUACGACAACAAUUAUUCGACCCAUUACAUGACUUGAGUCCUCAUGUAAGCUUUUCUCCAGCUAAAAUGUGAGAAAUUGGCUUUGGUAACACAAUAUUAUAGUUGCAACCUUCAUUUUACAUUGAUCCAAAGUAGAGUGCCUUUUUGGGGAGCCAAUCCGAUCAUGCUCACUCACUUCCCGACCAGCCUGCCAAUACAUAAAGGUGUGCAUUGGGUCUAGGCUAACCGAUAUGGGCCCGACCCAAAACUAUUUAUAAAAAUCCCAGUCCUCAUUAUAAAUUUUUUGACUAGGACAAUCGAUUAUGCGAGUUUAGAAAGAAAUUGGUUAUUCAAAACCGGUUAAAAUAAUUAAGAAGCCAUUUAGUGUUUUAAUAUUUUACUAAAAGAGUUUUAAAAAUCAAGCCAUAUAAUUUGUUAGGAAGACCAACUUAUAUUGGUUAAGGAUAAUUGGAAUUAGGCUUGGUUAAGGCAUGAGACCGGCUACAUAAGACUUGGUUAAAGUUUUUCGGAUUGGACUUAAGACCUGUUAUAACCGGUUAAAGGCACGGCUGGGCACACUUUUUGUUCACCUUUAGCAACAUAUCACGUGAAAGUUAUCCAUUUUUUGUCUACUGACUUUGACCUUGGUUGGAUGUAGUGCUUGUUGCUUAUAUUUUCAAGAUAGCAUGUCACGUUUUGUUUUUGUUUUUCAAUGACGUGAGCAAACAUAAAAAAGGGCAACUUGAGAUGCAAUGACAUCUUUCAUAUUCUUUUAGGUAGUGUUUGCUAUAUGAGACUUGAUUGGACAAGACUAAACAGAUAGAAACUAGACUCAUUGUUUAUGUAGUGUUUGGUACUUAGAACUUGAUAUAUGAAGAAGUUAAAAUUACCGGAUUGUCUUUUAUAUGAAAUAAUACAAAAUAAUCAAAAUCAUUGCAAAAUUAACAUAUUUUUCACACAAAUUAAUUAAAAAUCAAAAGAUUCAAACACUCCAAUAAAAAGAAAAAACUGCACAAAUGGUCCCUGUGGUUUGCUCAAAAUUGUCACUUUGGUCCAAAAAGGUUUGGACUAAUCCAAAGUUUUCAUUUUAUUGCUUGUUUAGUCAAAUAUGUUUUGAUUCUUUUCAAAAUAACGAAUUUGCCCUGUUAAUAUGAUUUUCUUUUUUCUUAUUUGUUUUUCUGAUUUUAUAUUUAAUAAAAUAAAAAUAAAUCACACACACUCUCUCUCUCUUAUUUGUUUUUAUUUUUGUGAUUUAGAUUUAAAAAAAUAAAAUAUCACACACACACACACGUCAUGCCAAGUUUAACCAAAGCCUUAAAGCGAUACGGUGUAUGAUACACACAUAGAUUGAUCCAUAUUCAACAUCAUCCAUCUUCAACCUUCAACAAACCUAGGGGUGUUCAUUUGGAUGGAUCGGUUUGAUCCGAUCCAAUCAAGUGAAUCCAAUUUGAUUUCGGUUUUCAAAACAUGGAUCCGAAUAGUCCAAUCUAAAUUCAAAUCCGAUCCGAUCCGAUCCAAUUACAAUUCGGUUGGAUCGGUUUUUAUAAUUCGGUUUUCAAAAAACGAAACAUUUUAAAACGAUAUAUAAUUAUAAUAUUACCCAACUUUACAAAAGAACCAAAAACAAAUUAUUUAGUUGCAUUUUGAAAUUUUUAAAAAACUACUAAGAAGAUAUAUUAUAGUUAAAUAUUUUAUACAUAGAAAACUUUUGAGAGAAAAUACAUAUUAAUGUUUUUUUUGUAUCGAGUGUAACGUUUUGAACCUAUUUGAAAAAAUAAGUUACCAAAUUAAUAAAUAACUAUGGAUAUAUAUUAUAAAUAGAUAAAUAAUAAAUGUUUAUUCGGUUUUUUUGGAUUAUUCGGUUCUUAUUUUAUAAACCAAAAUCAAUCCGAAAUCCAAAAUAAUAAUUCGGUUUUGUUAAAAACCAAUCCAAGAAUCCGAAAAUCCGAACCAAAUAGUCCAAUCCAAAUUGUCCAAUUGGAUAAUUCGGUUUUAUCCGAACAGUGAACAGUCCUAAACAAACCUCAUCACCAAAAUCACCUUUAAUCUCAUUCCACCUCACCAUAACUUCAACGCCUCCACCAGAAAUUUCCAGUUGUCAAGAGCCGCUUAGAUUCCACACCCACCUAUCAACGUCGAUUACCUCGAAACAAAAUUUAGCGGCCAUGGCACUUCCUUCACAAACCUCAGAGAAAGUUCACGAUAAGCAAAAUGAAGGGAUUUCAUGGUCUCCCACUAUCUGGAAUCUUUGCAGUGUUGGAGGAAGUCCAGACAAUUCAGGUGAAUACUCAAUUCACGAUAUCUAUUUUCCGUUCCUCUGUAUGAAUGAAUUGAAAUUGCCCUAAUGUUCUUAGGCAGAACUGAUUAGUAGCAUAAAAUUGAAAUCAAACACAUUGUAACUUUGAAAGAAGAUGCUAUAAGCUUAGAGAUUGUGAUUACGAAUUUCAGAUCUUCAUCACUCCGACUAACAGGAUGGAUAAUCGGUCACUUAGCUGUGAGCACACUGGAAGCAUCAUACGCCAUCCGACUCGAGAGAGCAAAUUACUUCGUUAAGCCACAAAUUUUCUCAAAAUCCAUCAUUAUUCCUCCUGAUAUCCACAAGAAUGAUUCGUGUCAAUUAGGGUUGAAGCGACUACUAUCAGAUUUGGGACUCAAGCCUGAAUCAGGACUUGAAAGAUGAAACAACAAAAAAUAGGGAAGAAGAUGAAGAGAUUGAAGGUGAAGAGGAUGAUAACUACAAGAAUUUAAUUGGGAAACUAAGCUUGAUCUCUCAUUCAAUGAUUUAAGUUGUGAAAUUCCCGAUGAAAUUUGGAGUAUGAAGAUGGAAGCGAUUAAUCUCGAAGGGAGCAUGCUCAACUGGAAUUUAAACUCUAAUUUCAGUGAUUUGGAAAACCUUAGGGUUCUUCAAUGAUUUCCAACGAGAGAGAGAGAGAGAGAGAGAGAGAGAGAGAGAGAGGCAGAGAGGGAGAGAGAGAGAGAGAGAGAGAGAGAGAGAGAGAGAUUUUAUUUUUUUUAAAUCUAAAAUCAGAAAAAUAAAAACAAAUAAGAGAGAGAGAUCUAUUUUUAUUUUUUAUUUUUUUUUAUUUUUUAAAUAUAAAAUCAGAAAAACAAAUAAGAAAAAUAGAAAAUCAUAUUAACAGGGCAAAUCCAUCAUUUUGAAAAAAAUCAAAACAGAUUGGACCAAACAAACAACAAAAUAAAAACUUUAGAUCUCUGGUGCUAAUCCAAAAUUUUUUGGACCAAAGUGACAAUUUUUGAGCAAACUACAGGGACCAUUUGUGCAGUUUUGUCCAAUAAAAAUAAAAAGACCAAAUAGCCUAAUUCUAUUAUCACUUUUGAAGAAAUAGUCCAAAAUUAGCCAAAUUUCCAAAAUAGCCAUUGAUUUCGAUUUUGACACUAUGUUAUUUUUUUUACAAUUUAGUCAUUAUGUUUUCUAAUUUUUGCAAUGUUGACCACUUAACUGGUUAACUCAGAGUUACCCCGAUGAUGUGACAUACUAACAUUUCAGUUUUUGGUGAUGUGGCCUGCUGAUGACGACGUUGUUUGGUUAUGUGAUGUUAACAUGGCAUGAUGAGGUAUCAAAAUUUAAAAAGGGACCAAAAGACACUAAGUUUUGUUUUGUUUUUUUUUUUCAAUUUCGACACUCCAUUUUUUUUAUUCCAAACCGAACAUCAUUCUUUCCAAUUAAAUUCAAUCGGCUGCCCUCUAAUCAUCUCAAAAUGAUCACAACAUCAUAACCCAUGAAAACACAAUCAAUAUCAUAACUCUUGGGAUCAAUGAUAUCUUGCAUGGUGAAGUGUGAAGAUGGUGGCAAAAUCCAUGUUCGUGAGCCUUCAGGUUGUGUUGGUUUAGUAGGAGAUCAAGAUAUUCUUAAAUCCGAGAUAACUUGUGAUGAUAAUUUAUCGUUUAAUGAAAGUGUUGAUAACAAACAUACAUAUGAUCAUGAUGGCCAUAUCAAUCAACAAGAUCAAGCCAACGAGACCUUUAAUAUAGUUAUCGAACACCUUGAUCAUCAUAUAGUUGAUCAAGAACAUCAAGAACCAGAAAAUGAACAAGUGGCUCAAGAGGUAGAUGUUGGAUCAGUAGAUGAAAUUGAGAAGCUAAAGAUGAAGAUGUUGAAGAAACCAAAAUGGAAGAACCAGAACAUGUUGAAGCCGAACCAGAAGAUGAAGGACAUGAAUGAACCGAACCAGAAAGCGAAGAAACCAAACCAUGAAGAAACGAAACCAUAUGCACAUGAAGAAACCCAUACAGAAGAGGCAGAACAUGAAGAAACAAAAACAGUUGAGCUAGAAAUCAAAGAGGAUGAUGUAUAGGUACCGGAAAAUGAAGAUUCGACAUCAAAAGUGGUGAUCAAGAACCAAAAAGUUUAUUGAUAUGUGUUUAAAUGGAAAAUGAUCAACACCGAAUAAAAUUGAAAAAAAAUAAUAAUGUUCGAUUUGGAACAAGAAAAAAUGAAAUGUCAAAAUUGAGAAAAAAAAAUGAAAACUUAAUGUCUUUUAUGCCACCUUUUUUUUUUUUUUUUAAUUUUGACCUGUCAUCAAGUCAUGUCAACGCCACAUAAUCAAACAUUGUCAUGUCAGUAUACCACAUCACCAAAGACUAACAAGUCAGAAUGUCACGUCAACGGGUAAGUGGGUUGACCGGUUAAAUAGUCAACAUUGCAAAAAUUAGAAAGCUUAGUAAUUACAUUGAAACAAAACAUAACAGUGUCAAAAUUGAUUUUUGCAAAUACAUACUGACUUUUGUGCAAUUUACCUAGUUUAAACCUGGGAAUUUAAAAAAAAAAAUUGUGAACUUUUUUGUUGUUAAAAUCUUAAAAGAACAUAUCCACAACAAAAUGGAGCUUUAAAUUGAAUAAUCAGAAACUGAGAUAUUCAAGUUCUUAAUUAAGAAUAACUUGGUAAUUUAAUACAUAUGUUACAUUUGUUAACAUUGUUUAUUGCGAUUUUAUUCAAUUUUCUUGCGUAUUCAAACCAGGUCCUAUCAUAUGUAUAAUUCUCUAUAUUUCAUUAUUUUGAAUGAUUUUGGAUCAUCUUCUCUCCUAACUCUUAUUUUUCUUGUGUUUGACCAAUAGUCAAACUAUUUAUAACAGGGAAAUCUUCAGGAAAAGUCCCAUUAUUUUGGAAAAAGUUACAUUUAAGUCCUAAUAUUUUUUUUUGAACAAAAAAACCCAAGAAACCGGAUAAACCUUUAAUCCUUUUUGACCUGUUGAGCAGGUCACCUAUGCCACAUGGCAUGCCAGCUGUACAAGGGUUGAUGUGGAUGCUGAUGUGUGGCAUAGGUGACCUGCUGAACAUGUCAAAAAGGAUUAAAGUGUAAGGUUUAUCCAGUUUCUUGGGUUUUUUUGUUAAAAAAAAAAAAUUUAGGACUUAAAUGUAACUUUUUCCAAAAUAAUAGGACUUUUCUGAAGAUUUCCCUUUAUAAAACUAAUGAAGUUUGCCUAGAAUUACAAGGAUUGAAAGUACAAGGCUAUCAUUGGUUAACAUUAUGUGUGACUUUUAUAUUUGCUAAAAAGUUUACAAAAAAUAAUAAUAAUAAUAAUAAAUCACAGAGGAAAGUUAAGGAAGCUAGAGGCCUGUAUUGCUUUCAGGGUUUGAAUCAAAAAGUGGUGAUUGUGGAUGACAAUGGAUGGGUCUAUGCAUUGGUGCUGUUAUCACACUAUUUCUUGUUUUUUUAAAAUUACUUUAUUUCAAUAAGAAAUUCUCAAAUUUGGGUCAAUUAUUCAACAAAGUUGGGAGACAAAAUUCUCUGAUUUGGGGUCCUUUAAAGACAGAAAAGCAUUUCGACCUGAAAUUUGCAAUAAUGCUAUGAUGGAUGAUGCUUAUGGAAACACAAUCAAGGUCUCAAAUAGUAAAUACAACUUGCAGAUUUGUAGAGGGGAUUUCUAAACAACUAUUGUAAAGCAACCAUCUUAACUUAAAAAUUCUUUUGUAAAGGUUAGCAUUCUUAGGAUUUUAUCGUUUCAUUUAAUAUAUGAACUAUUUCUUUUUCUGUAAUUGAAAUGUUAUUUUUAAUCUUUGCAGGUUAUAAAUUCCAAGGAUCUGUCAUUUGUAAGAUAUUCCAUCAUAUGUACAUCAACAUUUACAUACCUUUCCUUUGGCAAGUAAACAAGGUAUGCACUAACUUGCUUCAAAUUCUACUUAAUCACCAACUAAUUUCGAAUACAGAUGGUUUAUUUUUUAAUUCUACGCACAAUUAGCCUAUUUUCAGAAGGGUUUAAUCAUUACACCCGUUUUUGGCAUGUGGAUAAAACCUACACACAGCUACACAGACAAUUAAGGCAAGAAAAUACUUUGCUCCAUCUCAUAAAAGGGCAUUUUUACAACAUUUGGAUGAUUGCACAAAAGAACAAUCUUGAUAACAGUUGGCACACAAGAGAUUAAGUGACUUUGAGAGGUGUAAGUUGCAGAAACUCAUGAUCGUAUAACAACAGUACAUCAUAAAAACUUACUCUGUGAUAGACAGCGUAUCAUCAAUCAACCGAUACUCGUCAUAAACCCUAAUUUCCCACCAAGCGUAGCCACAGAUUAGAAGAAACAACACGUUCGGACGAUAGUUGGAUCCUUGAAAGAACAUGCAGUUGCCAUUGCUGAAUUGUUUAUGGUGGUCAUUAAAGACGCAGGAAGAAAAAGUAAGAUUUAGGAACGUCCCACAUCGGAGGGAGCAUAUGAAAGGGAAGAGGGGUGGUGUGAUAUAAAAAGAGGCGAAGGGGUAACGGAUUAAGCAUCUUUGCGCUUGGGGCAAUGACGCAGCUAAUGAGGUAAUAACCGAGGCGCGUCAAUUGCUGGUUGAAAACUAUUUCCAAACCCCCUCCUUGGCCUUGGGUCUCCCUUGGCCAUCGAGAAUUUCUGGAAGGGCUCCCUUUAUUGGGUAAGGCCCUACAAUUUCUAGUAUAAAAAUUUUGAUCAUAGCUUUGUAGAAAAAACUGUAUGAAUUAGUCAAAGUCUUUUUACUGUUUUUUUUUUUAUCAAUUUUCAAGGUUUUUCGUAUCAAAAAUGUUUUUU
rnacentral:lncRNA from 1 species